rnacentral:lncRNA from 1 species
AUCAACUUUGCGGUAACCACCUUUCUGAUUCAUGAUUUCCAACUUAAGCCACAGGCAGUCUAUUCGUCCUAUUUAUAACAUUGGAGACCUCCAAGAAGAAAACAGGUAUGAAAAACAAGUGAAUAGAUGGAUGAAAGAACCUACCCUUCAUUCUUUAAAGAAGACACAACAAUUCAGUUUGGUAAUGACUGGGACAGCACUUAGCUUCAGUAAUAUAGUGUUUAUCCAGUGAUACAUCAGGAAAUUUUAGAUGCUCAGCAUAUAAAGAAACUAAAGCUAAUACACUUCAAC